UACGGGGGGAGCAAGCGUUGUUCGGAUUUACUGGGCGUAAAGGGCGCGUAGGCGGCCACCGCAAGUCGACUGUGAAAUCUCCGGGCUUAACCCGGAAAGGUCAGCCGAUACUGCGGGGCUAGAGUGCAGAAGGGGCAACUGGAAUUCUCGGUGUAGCGGUGAAAUGCGUAGAUAUCGAGAGGAACACCUGCGGCGAAGGCGGGUUGCUGGGCUGACACUGACGCUGAUGCGCGAAAUCUAGGGGAGCGAACGGG
rnacentral:rRNA from 1 species